AGUUUGAUACAUGGCUCAGGACGAACGCUGGCGGCGUGCCUAAUACAUGCAAGUCGAACGAACUCUGGUAUUGAUUGGUGCUUGCAUCAUGAUUUACAUUUGAGUGAGUGGCGAACUGGUGAGUAACACGUGGGAAACCUGCCCAGAAGCGGGGGAUAACACCUGGAAACAGAUGCUAAUACCGCAUAACAACUUGGACCGCAUGGUCCGAGCUUGAAAGAUGGCUUCGGCUAUCACUUUUGGAUGGUCCCGCGGCGUAUUAGCUAGAUGGUGGGGUAACGGCUCACCAUGGCAAUGAUACGUAGCCGACCUGAGAGGGUAAUCGGCCACAUUGGGACUGAGACACGGCCCAAACUCCUACGGGAGGCAGCAGUAGGGAAUCUUCCACAAUGGACGAAAGUCUGAUGGAGCAACGCCGCGUGAGUGAAGAAGGGUUUCGGCUCGUAAAACUCUGUUGUUAAAGAAGAACAUAUCUGAGAGUAACUGUUCAGGUAUUGACGGUAUUUAACCAGAAAGCCACGGCUAACUACGUGCCAGCAGCCGCGGUAAUACGUAGGUGGCAAGCGUUGUCCGGAUUUAUUGGGCGUAAAGCGAGCGCAGGCGGUUUUUUAAGUCUGAUGUGAAAGCCUUCGGCUCAACCGAAGAAGUGCAUCGGAAACUGGGAAACUUGAGUGCAGAAGAGGACAGUGGAACUCCAUGUGUAGCGGUGAAAUGCGUAGAUAUAUGGAAGAACACCAGUGGCGAAGGCGGCUGUCUGGUCUGUAACUGACGCUGAGGCUCGAAAGUAUGGGUAGCAAACAGGAUUAGAUACCCUGGUAGUCCAUACCGUAAACGAUGAAUGCUAAGUGUUGGAGGGUUUCCGCCCUUCAGUGCUGCAGCUAACGCAUUAAGCAUUCCGCCUGGGGAGUACGGCCGCAAGGCUGAAACUCAAAGGAAUUGACGGGGGCCCGCACAAGCGGUGGAGCAUGUGGUUUAAUUCGAAGCUACGCGAAGAACCUUACCAGGUCUUGACAUACUAUGCAAAUCUAAGAGAUUAGACGUUCCCUUCGGGGACAUGGAUACAGGUGGUGCAUGGUUGUCGUCAGCUCGUGUCGUGAGAUGUUGGGUUAAGUCCCGCAACGAGCGCAACCCUUAUUAUCAGUUGCCAGCAUUAAGUUGGGCACUCUGGUGAGACUGCCGGUGACAAACCGGAGGAAGGUGGGGAUGACGUCAAAUCAUCAUGCCCCUUAUGACCUGGGCUACACACGUGCUACAAUGGAUGGUACAACGAGUUGCGAACUCGCGAGAGUAAGCUAAUCUCUUAAAGCCAUUCUCAGUUCGGAUUGUAGGCUGCAACUCGCCUACAUGAAGUCGGAAUCGCUAGUAAUCGCGGAUCAGCAUGCCGCGGUGAAUACGUUCCCGGGCCUUGUACACACCGCCCGUCACACCAUGAGAGUUUGUAACACCCAAAGUCGGUGGGGUAACCUUUUAGGAACCAGCCGCCUAAGGUGGGACAGAUGAUUAGGGUGAAGUCGUAACAAGGUUAACCGU
rnacentral:rRNA from 1 species